CUAACCCUCAGCAGGGACCUCCUCAUCUUUUUCUUUUUCUUUCGUUUCUUUUUCUUUCUCUCUUUCUAACCUAGGGUGUGGAGCUUGGUGAAGGGAAGUUGAUGGAAAAGCAGAUUUGAGCUGAAAUGAAGGCUUUUGAGCAGGAAAUUGGUUGUUGGAAAGGAAAACCAUGAGCCCUCUGCACCGGCGGAGGCACGGGAUCGCGGCAAGGGGAUCGCUAGCUAGAUAGCGAGGAUUUACCGUUGCUUAGGUCCUAGCGCGAGCAGUGUGGCCGACGAUCGCAGCAAAAGGCCGGCAUCUUAGCUAGUGGACUCCCAAUUAAUUACGUGCAUGGUGGAGAGCACGGGUAGAGGGGCCGAGGAGCUCGGAUUCGACGCCGACGACGCGCCGCGAAGCCGUUCGAGGGUACGGUUGGGAUCGUAGCGCUGCGAGGAAGCUAGGCGAGGGUGUGUUUUCGCCGUUCUCGACGCCACGUCGAUGUCCGAUUAGCCAUUGAGCGUCGACCGUCGGUAUUUCAAUUCGUACUCGGCGUAGGAGCGUCGGUUUUCGACGGGACUUGGUUCGUUGGAUUCGGGACUUCGAGAGGAAUCCACGAAGCCCUUACUUGCUGGAU